UACAGAGGGUGCGAGCGUUAAUCGGAAUUACUGGGCGUAAAGGGCGCGUAGGCGGUUAUUGACGUGUGAUGUGAAAGCCCUGGGCUUAACCUAGGAAGUGCAUCGCAAACGAGGUAGCUGGAGUAUAAGAGAGGGUGGCGGAAUUUCCGGUGUAGCGGUGAAAUGCGUAGAGAUCGGAAGGAACGUCGAUGGCGAAGGCAGCCACCUGGCUUAAUACUGACGCUGAGGCGCGAAAGCGUGGGUAGCGAACAGG
rnacentral:rRNA from 1 species